GUAUUUGUAUCUAGGGGGUACUCUUUUUGUCAACUGGUAUAGAAAAUAAACAUUCAAGGGUACACUUUUUGUCAACUGGGGUAUGGAAAAUAUAUAUUCAGGGGUCUUUUUGUCAACUGGUAUAAAAACUGAAUAUAUACACUUAUCAGUUUAGGUCCAAAAAAUAAUUGUUUAGCUACUAAACUAACUACUCUCUUCUAUAUAAUUUUAAAUGUAUAUACCUGAACUGGAAAGAGUACCCUCAAAUAAAAAGAGUACCCCCAAAUAAAAAGAGUACCCCCAAAUAAAUCCUAAGGUUAAAGUACAUGUACUUUAACCUUUAGUGCACAUGCGCAAUAAGCUUCAACACGUGGCUCAGUCAUAGACCAAAGAUACUGUUAUCUGUUAGUCUUCUGUUAGCAGUGUGAUCGUGACAUGGCUACUGGAAACCCAAACGGUUAUCCAUAUAAUACAGAUGGAGUGGAAGCUACGAGAAACUUCUUGAGGCAGGCUCUUACAAGACUUCCUGAAAGAAGUGCAGGAAGGGGUGUCCAGCGUCAGCAGAUGAUGCAACCUGAAAGGAGUGGCCUGCAACCUCUCCAGUUGAUGAUGCAACCUGCUAAUCAAGCACCGAGUGGUGUUCAACCUCUCCAGCAGAUGAUGCAACCUGCUAGUGGUGUUCAACCUCUCCAGCAGAUGAUGCAACCUGCUAAUCAAGUGAGUGGUCUGCAACCUCUCCAGCAGAUGAUGCAACCUGCUAAUCGUGGUGUGCAACCUCUCCAGCAUCAGCAGAUGAUGCAACCUCGCUCGCAAAUGCUUGGUCGUAACACUGCGCAAGUGCAACGGCCAUCCUGGAUGCAAAGAAAAGGAAAAGGGCCCAAAAAGUCGAAAAAAGUGAAACUUAGCCUUUGGGAGCACGAGUUCAUCUGUUUAGCUAGUUGUGGCCAGUUGACUCCACCUUCGUCAAUGGAGAAAAUUGAUCUAAUCAGGGCAGGUCUAGGUCCGAAAAAGAUACCAUUCCUUGACUUUGGAGAGCCUUUCGAAUUUCAUGAUGAAAUCACCUGUGCAUUUCCAAAGUUACGCAACGCUGGUGGCUACGAGUUACUACGCACCCAGCAACACAACAAUCGAGAGCUAUUUGUCAUUAGCCCACCAUCUGGCGGAUACACUGCAGAGUAUCUGCGUCGUAUUGUUGGCCAGGCUAAAGUGUUUGUUAGGCCGAUUCAGAAAGACCUGUCAUUGGAUCCACUAGUGGACAAAGAUGACUUGGGAAUAGCUCCUGUUGAAAAGUGUAUGCACUGCGAGAAGUCAGUACCAAUGCACCUGUUGAGAAGCCACAUCAAAGCUUGUGUCAGGGAUAACAAGUGCUCCCCACCUGAAGCAGGUGAGUGUUCGGAGUAUUUACGAAGUGGGGUUACAUUCCUUCUGAGAUGGAGGAAUUCCUAGAAGAUGGUGGCUGCACACGGUCCCCUACUUCUCCAACUGCUCCCCCAUUUUCUCCAAUAACGCCAUGCCAAGGGGCUAUCUCAACUGCUACAUCAAGUGUUGAUUUGUUUGAAAGUGAUGUGUCAGAAGCAAUUUCGAGAAGCCUUCAAGAUGCUGUAGAAGGGAUGUAGUGGUGAUGUUGCAGCAAAAAAAUGGUAUCAAGCUUCCGAGUACUGAUGAGGAGUGGGAUAUGACCCCUCGUUGUAGCUUAGAUGUAAGGAGGAGUCAUGUGGUUGUUGAUGGUGUGAGAGCAGCUGAAAAGAAGC